UAAAACAUCGGCCGGGUUUAUUUACGUAUUCUAAUUUCAUACGAUCCUUCAGUCAACAUUGUAAGUGUGGACUUUGUGACAUCUGACUGCUCAGAAGAAAUGGUUCGUAACAAUCGUAACCCAACCAAACGUAUAAUAGUCCGGUUGAACAGAAUGGAGCCUACUACUUUUCUAAUCUUUAUUGCUGGUCAUAUAUACAAGUCACGCAGUGAUUCCGGUCUUGGGGGAAAAAGAAAACGCUGCGAAGCAAUAAGAGUCACAGGUUAACCUGAAAUCUCGCCGCUUACAACAUUGUUUCGCCACACUGUCGAAUGACGGAGGGACGACUUGGUAUCCAUAACAUCCCAACAGUCUUCCUGAUCCCGGACCCCAUUCCCAUUUGUCUCAUCUGCCGUCAAUCAUCAUACCAUCCUUGUCCUGCCUCCACCAAUCAGAGGGCUCCACACCACCCCGGCUCCUCCAAUCAGUGGACAGCUUCACUUUUUAAAAACCUGGGCUUCCCGUUUUGGGUGCUCUCAUUUUGUUAGUCUGUCAUGAGCUUUUGCCGUACGUUUGAUUGUUGCUGGUGUUUAGUCUUUGUAUUGUACCGUUCCCUAGUGUGUUGACCAUUGUGUAUCUGGUUACCCUCUGUUUGUCUGUCCUGUUGUAUUCCGUGUGGCCACGCCAAGGCCUUGGGACUGGGUGGGACAGGUGCCUCUAUACACUAGCACAAGUAGUUUUGGGUACUUGUAAGGACACCUCAGGUUAGGAGUGGUUGCCACCUGCUGUUUCUGUUUGUUAGCUAGAGUAGGAAGUCAGGCUUUUGUUUUGUAAAUAUACUAGUUAGAUAGCCUUGUCCUACUUUUGAUUUUCAGACAGCUCUGUUUGGUUUUGUUGUUUUCUUUUCUUCAGCAACACUUGGGCUCCUUGACCUCGGUGGUGUGUCUUGUGCCUCAUUUUGUGUCUCGUAAAUAUUGUACAUAGCCGCUUGUAUUUUCACUUUUCCACUUUAAUCACAGUAAACACUUUUCACUUGGCA